GACGAACGCUGGCGGCGUGCCUAACACAUGCAAGUCGAACGAAGCUAUGUUGAAAAUAAUCCUUCGGGAGGAAAUAAGUAUAGCUUAGUGGCGGACGGGUGAGUAACGCGUGAGUAACCUGCCUUUCAGAGGGGGAUAACGUUCUGAAAAGAACGCUAAUACCGCAUAACAUAUUUGGGUCGCAUGGCUUGAAUAUCAAAGGAGCAAUCCGCUGAAAGAUGGACUCGCGUCCGAUUAGCUAGUUGGUGGGGUAAAGGCCUACCAAGGCGACGAUCGGUAGCCGGACUGAGAGGUUGAUCGGCCACAUUGGGACUGAGACACGGCCCAGACUCCUACGGGAGGCAGCAGUGGGGGAUAUUGCGCAAUGGGGGAAACCCUGACGCAGCAACGCUGCGUGAAGGAAGAAGGUUUUCGGAUUGUAAACUUCUUUUGUUAAGGACGAAAAAUGACGGUACUUAACGAAUAAGCUCCGGCUAACUACGUG
rnacentral:rRNA from 1 species